rnacentral:rRNA from 1 species
UGAGUAACCUGCCCUUAACUCUGGGAUAAGCCUGGGAAAACUGGGUCUAAUACCGGAUAUGACUCCUCAUCGCAUGGUGGGGGGUGGAAAGCUUUUUGUGGUUUUGGAUGGACUCGCGGCCUAUCAGCUUGUUGGUGGAGUAGCG